AAACUUAACAAGUAUAUUGAAGUAUAAAGGAUUAAAAUGGUAAUUCAACCUCAUUUUUUUGUCUCUAAAAAUGUUCUCUCCAUUUUUUAUGGCAUUUUAUUGAUUGCAAAGUUUCUUUCUUCUAGGAAAUAUUGAUAUAAAGUUAACUGCCGUGGUCGUCUAUUGUCGCAUAAUCUUUUUUCAUUGUCAUCCCAACCACACCUUCCUGAUAUCAAUAAUAAAUUAGGCAUCGUGACUUCAACUUGGAGUUAAAAAUUGAGGACUUGUUUGAUGAUUAGGAACUCCAUCCCAUCAAUCUCUACUUUAAUAUUUUUAGUAGGAGUAACUUAAAAUGGAUCCCUACUCUUUAGAAGUCUUUUGUUAACCUCAAAUUCAGAGAAAAAAAAAUGGGUCGAAAAUAUGUUCUCUACUCGGAAGAGUUUCUUCUUCCACAUUAAAAACGAGUAGACAGUGGAGAGAAAGUACAAGAGCUCUCUAAGGGACUCUCUAAAUCGCUAAAGCGGUAGCCAAGUAUGUUAGACGUCUAUACAUGUAAAUUAAAAAUAGAGCGAUAUAUGGGUGAUUUAAUAAUUUAUCAUAUUGAAUUAUUUUAUUAGAUUGAGCCAAUUAUGUGAUCUGUUUAAUUAAGGUUCUAAAUUUAUAAUUGAGUAUAGACUAAAUGAAUAGAGGUCUAUUUCUAGAUUGAUUAGGAUUUAAUAAAAACCGUAAUUAAAUUAGUACAUAAAGAGACUUAGAGUUAUGAUCCACAAUAUACUAAAACAAUAAGCAUUCAACCUUUCGAAUCUUAUCUAGAGAAAGGUCCCACUCAGAAAAUUCAAAGUUUCAUUGAGGAAGACAAACCCUAUAGAUUUUCAAUAGAAUGUAAUAUGUUCGUUGAGGAAGACAAACCCUAUAGACUCUCAAUAGAAUGUAAUAUGUUGUUCUUGACAAUUUGACAUGAACAAUCUACAAAGGAAACUCAAAAACACUCUAAAAUACACUAGGAUAGUUUUCAGAAACUAUUACUCCAAUUUUUAUGACUUAUUUUUAAAAUUAUAUAAUUAAAAAAUUAAACCAAACCCAUACUAUAUCGUCGGCUAAAAGCAUUUUGACGAUUGGAAGAAUGUUAGGCUUUAAGCUCUAUUGAAAGAUAAAAAUAAUGUGAUGCAAAGGUAUAUGAAAAUAGAGGCCCCUCCUAAUUAUAUGAUGAAUCCCACAACUCUUUGAAGGCACACCACAUAAAAAGUAGUGAUGUCUACAAAAUAAUCUCCAAUCAUGGACAAUGUGACAACACCAUCCAUUGUUUAGUUUAUUUUUUUCCUUUUCUUUUUAAUGACUUAUUUGAAGGGUUCGCCCGACAUUUUCUUAGUCAAUGGUACAAGGCCUAGGUUGUCAUUUCAAUAACUGUUCUCUACACAUCUUGACAUUCCCAAUCUUAAAAAAACAACAGUAUUCAAGAUUAUUUUACAGUUUCUUCUGUCCUUUUUCUCUGAUAAAAUCUUUCUUUAUUUAAACAAAAUGCUUUUCUUGUUCAGUUAAUGUUCUUUUGUUGAAAUAAUUUGAUCCAGACACGUGAAAAAUUCUAGAUGAAAAAAACAUAAUAAUAGUAGUAAUAACAGUAGUAGUGUUGAACAAUUGAUUGUAUCGAGGUAGAAAAGGCCACUACCUUAAAGGCAAUUUUAAAACGAUUUCUAUACUAGCCGUCUCAACACACCAAUCUUGGCAGAUGAGCACUUGUAAAACAAAAUUUUAAAAAUCAUUUUCUUUUUUUUAGAAAAGAAGAAACCUGUGUGUUUCAAAUCGAUUUUUUUUUUAUAUUAAAACAAUUUUUUUUAUAAAUUUGGAACAUUGCGGUCGAACUGUCACAUUCUGUUUUUGUAAAUGGUCUCAAUAUGUUUCCUAAUAGCUUCAAGAAUAAAAGGAAGCGAUAUUAAAAAUUAAUUCCUUCCAUCCAUGGUUUGAUACAAUCAUAAUUAAGGCUUAGUUUGAGAGUAUUAUAGAUUUCAAAAUAAGUGUUUGCAACCAUGCUUUUAGAAAAAUCAACUGUACUUUAAGUCAAAGGGUUGAAACUAUUCUUUUAGAAAAAUCAACCAUACUUGGUAAAUUUUCAGUAUGUGUUGGAGGGCGGGUCUUAAUCUUCUUUGAGCGUGAUUUUGAUCAUUGAAUAUGGGUGAGAUUUUGGGUUUGAUGGGCUUGUCUCAUAGAGUGGUUUGUAGGGGUUGAGCUAUAGUGGUUUUGUUUUGUUUCGUUCGGUUGGGUUGAGUAAGGAUGUCAAGUAAAAGCUUUGACGUACUUUGUGAUUUGAUGCUAUUUAUUUUAUGUGGCAGGAGUGUAACUAUCUGGUUGCAUGGGGGCACUGUCCUAUGAUGCUUAUGUGAUUGUGCUGCUUUUUGUUGCUACGGUUCGUGUUCGUGCUACUUUCUAACUUGAGGAUAUUGUUUAUCUGCUUUAUCAGGUUUUGAUUUUGGUUUUUUUUUUGCCUUUAAUCACUUUUUGUCUUUGCUUGUGUUUGUUUGUGUUCUUUUUUUCUUGACUUGUUCAAUGUGAUUGUUUUAUAAAACUCUAAUUGACAAAGGUAAAUUUGUAUUGCUUGACUCUUCUCAUUGUUAUGUAAUAGUAUUUAUACAAGUUAAUAUGGUAAAAUAUAAUAAAAUCAAUUUACAAUUACAGGUAUAAUAAAAGGGAGAAUAUCGCGGAGAGAUUUGUGGAUCUGAAUUAUCUUCUAAUAACCUCCCUCAAACGAAUGACUCAGGUUGAGUUUAGUAGUUUGUCUCGAAGGUGAAGAAAUUUUGGAGACCAAGAGUGCCUUUGUGAGUAUAGUAGCCAGUUGUUUGUUGGAAGAGAUGUAACGAACGAAAAUGUCUUUAUGAAGAAUUUUUUUUUCGAACAAAGUGGUAAUCGAUUUUAAUGUAUUUUGUUCGAGCAUGAAAGAUAGAAUUAUGAGCCAGAGAUAUAGCUGAAACAUUAUCACACCAUAAUGUUAGUGAGGUCUUAAGAGGAACACGAAGAUCACAGAGAAGUUGUCAGAUCCAGUAAAUUAGAUCGACAGUAGUAGUGACAAGUGACCGAUAUUCUUCUUCUGUGGAAGAAUAUGAGAUUGUAGGUUGCUUUUUAGAUGACCAAGAGUGUCUUCCCAGGCCCAGGAUUUGAAAUUCGGAUCUCCGACAUUCUCUUACAUCCCCUACGACCUGACAACGUCAUCUUUACUAUUCUUUAAGGCUUAUUAGAGGGAAACUUCUUUCCAAACAAACCAACACACGAGUCCUUUCAGCAUACUUUGUCCUCACUCACGUGUUUCCUAGGAAUAUUCCCAAGUGGUCAUCCAACAUAGAAUUGCUCCAAGCUAAGCACGCUUAAAUUUGGAGUUCCUACGAUCAAGCCACCGAAAAGGAAGGUGCACCUUGUUAGUAUAGGUAUUAACUUUUAAUUCUUUUAAUUCUUUCAUAACUUUAAUUUCAUGUCCUUAGGAUCCCUCUCAUUCAGAUGUGCUAUCGAUUCAUUCAUGUCUCCCUCAUAAACUUGGGUGUUACAUGUCUACCAGCUUCUGCUUGGUUCGUCUAUGAACCACAUCUUACUCGAAGAGCUUCUGCUUGGUUUGUCUCUGAACCACAUCUUACUCAAAAAGGUUCCGCUCUUAUACCAUCUGUAAUGCCACAAGCCCAGGAUUCAGAUUAGGAUUUGAAAUUCAGAUCAGGAUUUGAAAUUCAGAUCUUCUACAUUUCCCUACAUCUUCUACGACCUGGCGACAUCAUCCUUAGUAUCUUUAAAGACUUAUUAGAGUGAAAGUUUUUCCCACAAAUCAACACAAGUCCUUUCAGCUUACUUUGUUCUCACUCACAUGUAUCCUAGAAAAAUUCUCAGGAGGACACCUAAUAUAGAAUUGCUCCAAGCUAAGCAUGCUUAACUUUGGAGUUCCUAUGAUUAAGCCAUCGUAAAGGAAGGGGCAUCUUGUUAGUAUAGGUAUUCACUUUUAAUUCUUUUAAGUCUUUCUUUCAUGUCCUCAUAAUCCCUUAAUUCAGAUGUCAUAUCGGUUCAUUCAUGUCUCCCUCCUAAUCUCAGGUGUUACAUGCCACCAGCUUCGACUUGGUUCAUCCUCGAACCACAUCUUACUUGGAGAGGUUCCACUCUAAUACCAUUUGUAACGCCCAAGACCCAAGAUUUAGAAUUUGGAUCCUCGACAUUUUCCUACAUCCUCUGUGACCUGACAACAUCAUCCUUACCAUCCUUAAAGGUUUAUUAGAGUAAAAUUUCUACCCACAAACCAGCACGAGUCCUUUCAGCAUACUUUGUCGUCACUCACAUGCAUCCUAGGAAACUUUCCAAGAGGUCACUUUACUAUAGAAUUGCUUCAAGCUAAGUGCGCUUAACUUUGGAGUUCUUAUGAUUAAGCCACCGAAAAGGAAGGUACACCUUGUUGGUAUAAGUAUUAACUUUUUAAUUCUUUUUAAGUCUUUCUUAACAUUACUUUGAUGUCCUCAAGAUUCCUCUCAUUCAGAUGUGAUAUCGGAUCAUUCAUGUCUCCCUUUUAAUUUGGGAAGUUAUAAAUGGUAUCAGAGCGGAACCUGUCUCAAUAAGAUGUGGUACGGGGACGAACCAAGUGGAAGUUGGUGGACAUGUAACGCCCGAGAUUAGGAGAGAGACAUGAAUGAACCGGUAUCACAUCUGAAUGAGAGAGAUCCUAGGGACAUGAAAGUAAUGUUAAGAAAGAUUUAAAAGAACUAAAAGUUAAUACAUAUACUAACAAGGUGCACCUUUCUUUUUGAUGGCUUGAUCAUAAAAACUCAAAAGUUAAGCGUGCUUAGCUAGGAGUAAUUCUAUGUUGGAUGACCACCUGGUAAUUUUUUUAGGAUACAUAUGAGUGAGGACAAAGCAUGCUGAAAGGACUCGUGUUGGUUUGUGAGGAGAAGUUUCACUCUAAUAAGCCUUAAAGAAUAGUAAGGAUGAGGUUGCGAGGUUGCUUGGGAUGUAGGAGAAUGUCGGAGAUCUAAAUUCCAAAUUCUAGUUUGAAUCCUAGGCCUAGGGCGUUACAAAGAGAUUAGAUUAGAACCGAGUAAAGCAAUGAAUUCAGAGGUUGAACGUCGAUUAGAAGUAUCACUGGCCUAAACAGAGUCAUAAAAGGUCUGUAGAAAGAAUGACGUUUGUGGAAAUUUAUUCUAAGGGUUGGAGUACCACAUAGAUAUUUAAGGAUGCGCGUGUUUGACUGCCAAGAAGUGAAUUAUAGUUGGUUUAUGCAUGAAUUGACUGACACGAUAAUAUACCGAGAAUGCAACAUCAGGAUGAGUAAAGGUAAGGUAUUGCAAGGAACCAACUAGUCUGCUAUAUAAGGAUAGAUCAAUAAAUGAUGGUGCAAUGGUGUAAAGAUCAAGAGAAGUAGACAUUGGCGUGACAGGAGGUUUUUCAAAGGUCAUUCCCGAUGUAUGAAGAAGGUCAUUGAGAUAUUUGACUUGGUUAAUGAAAAUUCCAUUACUGGAGGAAUGUAUUUCAAGACCAAGAAAGUACUUUAAACGACCAAGAUCAAAUAUUUUUAAUUCAAAAGGGCCAAUUGGUUUUUUAGAAGAGAUAUAUAUGAAGAAUGAGGACCAAUGAUAAUGAUGUCAUCUACAUACAAAAGUAAGUAAAGUGUGAGAAGAUUUGACUAAUGAAAUGAAUAAUGAGGUAUCAACCGCAAAAGCAACAAAACCCAUAGUAAAUAAAUACUUAAGAUGUAAAGUGUUCAAACCAAGCGCGAGGGGCUUGUUUGAGGCCAUAAAGUCUUUUGUAGAGAAGACUCACAUGAUUUGGAUAUGUGUUAUCCUGAAAGCUAGAAGCAUGUAAACUGUUUCUUGGAGAAUAUCAUGUAGAAAUGCAUUUUUAAAAUCUAAGUGGGUCAAGGACUAACUGUAUUGAGCAGCAAGAGCAAGAAUAAUUCGUAUGGUGGGUUUCUUGACUACAAGACAAAAAGUUUAUUUAAAAUAAAAAAAUUAUACCUGAUGAUAACCUUUAGCAACUAGUCGCGCUUCACAACGAGCAAUAAAGCCAUUAAGAUUAUAUUUUAUGUGGAAAACCCAUUUAGAACGAACAUCAUUCAUAGAUGGAAGUCGAGGUACUAAGGACUAAGUACCCUGUGCUAGGAAAGUAUUGAUUCCUCACACAUUGCAGUUCGCCAUUCAAGAUACUUGAAGGCUUCAGUGUAUGAUGUGGGAGUCAGGAGAGCAGUUAUGAUAUGGAAUGCCUUUGGGUUUAAAAAUACUUUAUUUUGAUUGAGUUUUCAUAGCAUGAGUGUUGGUUGCAGCAACAUCUAUCUCAUUUCCUAUAUCGACUGUAGAUAAAACAUGUAAAGACUGACAAGUGGUAACAUCUAGUGUGAACAAGGAUUUUUUCACUUUCUAAAGAGACAAAUGCAACAACAAGCUUGUCAACGAGGGCUUUAAUGCGAGAGGUAUAUUGUUCAAUGGUUUCAGAAGGGUUUUUUUUUUAUGGAAUGAAGUGCAGAUCAUAAGUUAAGGAUGUUGGAUAUGGUAUUGGAGGAGUAUCUCGUUUUUCUAGAGAAAGCCACAAAUCUUUGGAGGAGACUAAGCCGACAACAUGGACAAGGGAAGAGGAUGACAAAGUAGCGUUUAUUAAAGAAAUGAGAGCUUGGUCACAAGAAAGCCCUUAGAGAUAAUUAGGAUUGAUUCCACAAGUGGUUCCAGCAGUUGGUGAUGGUAGAUGUUUUGGAGGAUAGGGAAGAUAAUCAUCAAUAUGACAAAAAGGGAAUGAGCUUUGAGUAUGAAGGAGACUUGAUACUCCUAGAGUAUAUAAUUACUAGUGUCGAAACGAAUAGGCACGAGAUUGCAAAUAAUGUUGGACAACAAGAAGAGAGUGGAGGUGGGAAGAGAUGGGUUUCCUUAAGGUAAGCAUUAGUGUGGAAAUGGAACAAGAUUAGGAACGGGAUGUGGCCAUUUGAAGAAGUAAGGUAUGUAAACAAAAUUAAUUUGAAGAUUCCUAUGAUACCAUUUAAAACUCUAAUUGACAAACGUAAUUUGUAUUUCUCAUUGAUAUGUAUGAUAGAACUAAGUCAUGCACAGCGGAAAAAGAAUCGAAUUUCUACCCUAAUUGCCACAAUUAACAUGUAACCAUAAACUAAUUAAAUUAGGGUUUUAGGAAAUAUUACCUUUGAAGCUUUCAAAAGGUUUGAUAUCUUCUUACCAAUUCUAACCGAGACCACCACUAGUACUCAACUGCUAUCCUCUAGACAAAGAACCGGGUUGUGGGACCCAAUUUUGGUGUAGAAAGUAAUGGAGAUAAAAUGAGAUUGGAAGGUUUUUUUUUUUUUUCUUUUGUUGAGAUGAUGAAAAUGAUAAAAGAGGCAAAAGUUCUUCAACAUUUGAAAACACCUCUAUUUAUAGCCUAAUUACAUGCAAAAAUGCAUGCAAUUCAUUUGCCAAAUCUCAACACCUAAUGUUCCACUAACAAUUAGUGGAACUUAGUGGGCUAGGUGUCUAUAUCUCAUAUAGCCACAUAUCCCACUAAGAGUUAGUGGGAUU
rnacentral:lncRNA from 1 species